AUUGAACGCUGGCGGCAGGCCUAACACAUGCAAGUCGAGCGGUAGAGAGAAGCUUGCUUCUCUUGAGAGCGGCGGACGGGUGAGUAAUGCCUAGGAAUCUGCCUGAUAGUGGGGGAUAACGUCCGGAAACGGACGCUAAUACCGCAUACGUCCUACGGGAGAAAGUGGGGGCUCUUCGGACCUCACGCUAUCAGAUGAGCCUGGGUCGGAUUAGCUAGUUGGUGGGGUAAAGGCUCACCAAGUCGACGAUCCGUAACUGGUCUGAGAGGAUGAUCAGUCACACUGGAACGGGGACACGGUCCAGACUCCUACGGGAGGCAGCAGUGGGUAAUAUUGGACAAUGGGCGAAAGCCUGAUCCAGCCAUGCCGCGUGUGUGAAGAAGGUCUUCGGAUUGUAAAGCACUUUAAGUUGGGAGGAAGGGUCGUUACCUAAUACGUGGCGAUUUUGACGUUACCGACAGAAUAAGCACCGGCUAACUCUGUGCCAGCCGCCGCAGUAACAC
rnacentral:rRNA from 1 species